GUGCUCACUUCGGCAGCACGUAAACUAAAAUUGGAACACUACAGAGAAGAUUAGCAUGGCCCCUGCGCAAGUAUGACAUGCAAAUUCAAGAAAGAGCCCUAGACAAA